rnacentral:rRNA from 1 species
UACGAAGGGGGGCUAGCGUUGCUCGGAAUCACUGGGCGUAAAGGGUGCGUAGGCGGGUCUUUAAGUCAGAGGUGAAAUCCCAAGGCUCAACCUUGGAACUGCCUUUGAUACUGGGGAUCUUGAGUCCGGGAGAGGUGAGUGGAACUGCGAGUGUAGAGGUGAAAUUCGUAGAUAUUCGCAAGAACACCAGUGGCGAAGGCGGCUCUCUGGGACGGUACUGACGCUGAGACGCGAAAGCGUGGGGAGCAAACAGG